AUAUUUACCUGGCAGGGGAGAUAUUAUGAUCAAUGAGGUGGUUCUUCCCCGGACGAGGCUGUCCCAUUGCACUUUGGGUGUGCUGAUGCCAGCGAUGUCCCCAAAUGCGGAAUCCUCCACUGCAAAAUUUGUGGUCAUGAUGGAAUGCUUUCAUGCUCUCUCCCA